UGGGGAAUAUUGGACAAUGGGCGAAAGCCUGAUCCAGCCAUGCCGCGUGUGUGAAGAAGGUCUUCGGAUUGUAAAGCACUUUAAGUUGGGAGGAAGGGCAGUAAAUUAAUACUUUGCUGUUUUGACGUUACCGACAGAAUAAGCACCGGCUAACUCUGUGCCAGCAGCCGCGGUAAUACAGAGGGUGCAAGCGUUAAUCGGAAUUACUGGGCGUAAAGCGCGCGUAGGUGGUUUGUUAAGUUGGAUGUGAAAUCCCCGGGCUCAACCUGGGAACUGCAUCCAAAACUGGCAAGCUAGAGUAUGGUAGAGGGUGGUGGAAUUUCCUGUGUAGCGGUGAAAUGCGUAGAUAUAGGAAGGAACACCAGUGGCGAAGGCGACCACCUGGACUGAUACUGACACUGAGGUGCGAAAGCGUGGGGAGCAAACAGGAUUAGAUACCCCUGUAGUCCCUGAGCGGGCUGGCAAGGCGCAU
rnacentral:rRNA from 1 species